rnacentral:lncRNA from 1 species
AUUAAAUAGAAGUAGAUAAAAAUAGAUCUAUUUUAUAAUAUUUUCUAAAAAGGCUUCUUAAAAGCUUCAGAUAUACUAUUUUGACUUUAUAUAUAUUCAUAGUUGAUUGGUAGGUUAGAAAAUUGGUCAAUAAGUUAACCACAUAUUGAUAGCUUGUGGAAUAAGUUGAUUAUGUAGCACUUAUAUAGAAAACUUGCCUUAUAAAUUGAAAUAUGUGUCUUAAAAAGUCAACAUAUUUUGGAGGUCUUAUAGGAUAUUAUUAUGUAGGUUCUAGUUAAGAAUAUAUAUGGAGGCAAGAGUGAAGCCUUUUUCAAUCUUAUUAAUGCCUUUUUAGUCCUAAGUCUUAUUUCAAGUCUUUUUAGUCUUCUUGUCUUUGAAAAUAGCUAUUUUAGUUCAAUACUAUAUCAUCUUUGAGUGAUUUUUAGUCUUUUUGAGUGACACAAGAGUGUAUUGAUAUUUUAUUUCUUUGAGGUUCAUGUCCUUG